CAAAAUUUACAUAUCUGUACUUUAAAAAUUCGCAGGUGCAGGAAGCCUGAGCCAACGUUAGCCUGAGCCGCCUGACGCGUUCGUUACUUGUUCGGUUUGUUGUCAAUGGUGUGUGAGGUGUAGUGGUUGUAGCUUGUAGUGCCGUAGGGUAUUGAAGUUGUGCUGGAGCUACAACCGACGAUGACCUACCUCAGACACGUUCAGCGUGCACAAAAAAGGUGUUGACGUCAGGACAACACAGUCGGAAGACGUGUCUUGCUGGGCAUUCUUGGUCGUCACCAGGAUCGUGCUCCGCACCCAGCAGCUGGCUGCGAGCAGCAAGAUCGUCUUCCUGGACUCCACCUCGUCGACUGACGGCAUUCGGAGCACCACCAUCAUGCUAAUAGUUCACACCAUGCUGGUGCCAGCCCUCUUGCAGUGCUACUGCGCAACUGCCAGAUGACGGAGAGCUUCCGGAGUCUUCCAACUCCCGAAGGAUGCCUAUCUGGUCUGCUUUGGAGGAGCGCAUGCCCCUCAGGCGUUCAUGACCGAUAAUGUGUCCGCUGAGUAGGCAGCCCUGCGAACAACCUGGCCUGAGGCCGUCCAGCCGUGUGCCACUUCCAUGUGGCUCAGGCAGAGUGGCACUGUGCAUUUGCUGCCACAAACCAGGUUGGUGGGGACACGAUGCCGCUACGUGUCCAGUCACGGUGGGCAGAGGGUUCCUGCCAUUUUGCUUUUAUUUUUUAUCCUCAUGUGCAAUGCUCCUACAUGUCAAGUCACGGUGGACAGAGACUUUGUGUCAUUGUGCUUUAGUUUUUUUUUUAUCCUUGUGUGCAAUGCCGCUACAUGUCUAGUCACGGCGGGCAGACUUCUGCCCUGCCGUUUUGCUUUCAUUUUUUAUCCUUGUGUGCAACGCUGCUACGUGUGAAGUCAGAAUGGACAGCCUUUCUGCCGUUGGGCUUUUAUUUUUCAUCCUUGCCUACAGUGUGGUCGCCCUGGUGCAAGGAUUACUUUCAAAGAAGGCUCCUCUCGAAUUCACAAAGUUGUAGCCCAGCCCACCAGCUGAGACAGAUGCCUGCCUCCAGGGCCGUACCCAGAAAAAAAUUUUGGGGGGGGGGGGGGGGGUUUUGGGGUCAACGGUGGCCAUUUUGAAAGUGUCUAUUGUCUUAUUUUCGCCUAUGAAUCAUGUGCAUCGGUAGCAUAUAAUGGAGAGUUACAGCAAACCGGAGAACCGGUCCCGGUUUGGUACCCGGUAGCCGACUGGCGCCACUGCGCGUGCGCAGAGGCGGAGAUUAAAAUCAGCUGGCUGCAAGUGCACCGACCAGGGCCGUACCCAGAAAAAAAUUUCGGGGGGGGUCAGAACCCCCUAACCCCCCCCCUGGUUACGGCCCUGCCUGCCUCUACUGCUGAGUACAUCAUUCCACUGCAGGACAACAUGUAUGACAUCUGCCGUAACAUUGGGACGUGUAGCUGGACAGCAGGACGCCAUCUGUAGUCGGCUGGCGCUGGUCCACUACCACUACAGAGAAGCAUUUUCUAAUGUUCCUGUGCUUGCACCAAACUGCUUACGUUAAGAGGCCGUGUCGUGUCAUGAAGACUUCCUGUGGUCAUCGCAGCAGCCGUCUACCAGUGCUGAAAUUGUCCAAGGAGCCGCACCACUAUCGGAGGCAACAAACAGCCUUUUGGUGUUGGGAGUUCCUAACUUUUCGCUAUAAUUUAGGGAGAAAAAUAAUUCUCAUCAUUAAGAAAGACUAAGCCAUUUGAAGGAAAAAGCUAGUCACGCUAUUAUUGACAGAGACAGUACACAGAAAGACGCCUGGAGAAAAAGGACAGAAAUAAGACAUGCAUCAGGAAACGAAUAUAGGUGUUUGGUUGUCAAUUAGGAGAAGAAAGGGUGAAAUUGAGCUUAUCAGUUUUGUUUCACUGAGGGAAGCGAAAGUUCAGUCUUGCCAUGUGUCGAGGUGCAGUGCAAUGCAGGCACCGGUUGAAAGCUCGCAGCUGUGAGAUUCGCUACUUUUGGUUUUAUACUGUUGAAUUUCUUGAGUUGGUGCAUCCCACAACGUUUACAUGCCACUCUCAUGUGGAAGCCAGAGUUGAAAGGAUGUAGAAGGGUUCGAUUGGCGUAUUGCUGUGUCCUGGUCUGGUGGCCCGACUUGAGUGCCCUAUCGCCUUCCACGAUCCAACGGUGCUCCACAUGCCCGCUGUUCUAUCCUCCCUUUUCCUUGCCGCGUCUCGUGCCCCUGCGCGCUCAUGGAGACACACAGACAGACAGGGAAGAACAGGGCUAUCUGGACCCCUGAACGACAAACAGCUCAAGAUGUUUUCCGGCCCUGAAUUAAGGGGACUGAACCUUUAAAAAGAGUUUCUGCUCAGGAGAGACGCCACCGACACUUGCGUAGCCGCUGUGCUUCUACAAGACCACGACAGGCUUCUUCACCCAGUAUGUUACACUAGCCGACAACUUUCUUGUCCGCGUGUCGUUGUGCACUAUUUAAAUGCUGUAAAACCCUUUUUUCAUGGCCCCUAUUUUUCGCGAAUCCGUCAAAGAGGACUAGUUGCAGCCACUAAAUUUUGCAAAUUCAAGACGCCUGCAUUGAAACUUAAUUGCGCAAAUUUUUCAGUUUGCGAAGUUUAGGAGCUCUUGAACAUGAGGGUUUUACAGUACUAUGGAGGUGUCCAAUUUUGCCGCAAACUAGCCUUCUUUCUUUUUUUGCUCAGUCUCUGUGGUUCUGGAUAGUUGUCUUGUUUACUUUUCUGCAGGUGCCUCAUCGUGUGUGUCACUGUUUAUUUGGCAAUAAAUUUCAUGUACAUUUUGAAGAAGUGGGCGCUCUAGCUUUAAUCAGUUUACCUGCACCGGUGUAGGGCGGUGUGCUUCAGGUCGUACCUGGACAAGGAUAACCCACAAACUGUUUCCCCGACGUUGAAAGAAGCUUUUAUUUAUUAUUUUCUCUCUAAACUUCAAAUUUUAACAUGUAACUCGGACCAAUAGAAGACGUAUUUGAAGAAAUGCGUAUUACUGAGCGUCUGCGCUGGCCCAAGCAAACAUCGGUGCGGCCCCACUACUCCUUGCAUUGCAACAUGGAAUUGUCAAGGGGCAAUGUGGGAUUUUUCAGAAAGGUCUAUUGGCCGAGUCGGAAAGUGCUGAUGUCAAUGAAUCGCUUUCCACAUGUAAAUUAAGGGGCAUGCCAUAGAAACUUUUUCAAAACAACACUGGGUACCAAGCAUAGUCAAUGUGCAUGUUGAAUUAACAUCAAUAUUUGACGCUGCCUGUAAGCUUUCGAAAAAUCGGCGCAUGACUCGCCAACUAUUGAGUGCAGAGCUUUUAAUGCUUACUGCAUCAGAUAGACCUGGUGAAAACCCUCAGGCCUGUUCAAAAAUAUUCAGCACUAUUUAUGUCCACAAAUAGGAAACAAACUACUACGGAGCUGUCAUUGUUUUUAUUGACAUUUUCAAUUUCAUCUGAAUCAUUGUCAUGUACCACAGUUUCACUGCUCAGUAUUGGCUGUUAGUGGCGAUACCCUUGUAACAGGUGUGCAGCAGACCCAACUCUGAUGUUCUGAGUGUGGGUGCGUGGAUACUGACAUUCCAGCCCGAAUGGAAUCGAGCCAGAAAGUGACGACAAAGUCAAAUGAUAAAUUGGAUAUAGAACACCAAAAUUUUUAUUUGAAAUGCACAGAAACGAAACAACUGCCUAGCAAAAGAAAACACCUGCACGGCGUAUUUUGCAUAGAGCGGCCAAUGCAAACAAAAAGCGCUGACGACAAGUUGGCAACGACAAACUUGAGACAGCUAAAGAGUGUGUUCACUUAUCCAUGCUGCAGGUGUGGAUACCCAGCAUCUGCAGCGUGCUGGACAGAUACGGCUGAACCUUUUCAAUCGGGUUGCUGUCUUUGCCACCUGUAGUCGCCUGCAUGUUCAGAAUAGCAGGACAAGCCCCUCCCACAAAGCUAUGCGAUUGGUGGGUUCCUCCUCUCCAGUGCUCAGUCUGCUAAAAGGGAAAGGGUGGAUAGCUUUGUGGAAGGUGCUUGUCCUGCCAUUCUUAAUGUCGCUCAACAUGGCAAAGCAUGACAUGUUUGUGGAUGAAACUGUCAUCGCACAGCUAGUGUCCAGACUGAAAACUAAUUCACGACUUCCUCUUUUGUUACACCAAAAUCUCGUUUGUGUCUUUUCUAUGAAAUUUAUCAUUUAGAUACUUCUGUAAUAACAAACUAAUGUUAAAUCCAGCUUUCAUUUCACCAUACGUAAAUAAUCCAUAUAAAGUCAGGAUUCCUCAUUGUGUUACUUAGCCUAUUACAUCUCAUUAAUUCCCAGCACUUUCUCAGACUGGAACAACCUUCCUACAGAACUAGUAAACAUACCAUCCUCCGACGUAUUAAAAAAUGUGGAGACCACUUAUGUGAAUAUUACGACCUCUCUGAUUGGUUUGUUCUAUAAUUUCACUUGUAUACACUUUUCUUUAUAUUUUGUGCGUUUUUGCUACCUGGCUUAUGUUUGUAUAUUCCUGAUUGUAUAAUAUUUUGUUUGUCCCACCCCCCUCUCUAAUGCCUUCAAGUCCUAAGUGUGUUACAAAACUUUUCAGGGAAGAUUGGUGAUGCCUGAAUAAAAUCCAGCACAAACCUGCGGUAUCAUGGAAUUCUAGGGAGAGUAAUCUUAAUUAAACACGAAUUUUGUUUAACGGCAUUUCAUGUGUCAAUUCGGAAGUCCAAUUACAAUCCAAUUUUAAUUGGAUAGUGAUUAUCGAAUUGAAAUGUUUGCACACCCCCAGUUUUGACGCAUUCACAUACGUUUGCAGAAGCUCAGGCAAUGGUUUUUUCUUAACAUAUACACAAUAAAAGUGUGAAAUUAGUCACCCUUUAAAUUUGGGUUUCUUAAAAAUGCAAAUUAGGCAUUCGAAGCCAGCACGCACGCUUAGUCUCCGUCACCAGCACACUCCCAUGAAUGAAGCAAUCGGCGUCUUCCAAAGUGAGUAGCGCUAGCACUUGAGUCUGACCUCCGUUUUCCCAUGCACGCAGUCGUCCGCUGCCUAGGUACUCACAAAUUAGAAAUGUUCUGCACAGGUCAUCAUUCCUGUUUCUGGGGCGUGUUCCGAAAUUUACUCGAUCCUACUCCAGGGUAAGGUUUUUUUUUACCUUGGCGUUCUAAAACCUACCCGUGACCAGCGUUUUUUAAUCUCUGUUGUCACGUGACACGACCCGCCGGAGUAACUCGGAUUCAUUUGGAACACAGCCCUGCUCUCUUCGCUUAAUAAAAACAAGAAUAUAAUAGUCUGUUCCGUCCGCAGCCCUGUCGAAGGCACACGGGUGCGUGCGUUUAGUACAGUGGGAUAGCAGGCUGUGAAGCUACGCGUUGGCGAGCCACAGCUGCGCAGAAAACUCAGUCUAAUAGCGUCGUAAAGCCAAAAGCGCGUAGAUUUGCAUCAAACACUGAUAGACUCUGGCUAUAAUUGCCGAGGGAGGCGAGUGUGAAUGCGAAGCGUCGUAGCUUGUACGCGCGUACUAACAGCCAGAAUCGCUUUCUCAGGUAGGAAAUUGUUCGUGCAACUUAUGCACGUGCGAAUAUUAGGGCGUUCGCUCGCGUCCUUAGACCCCACGGAGGCCAGUCGUCAAUCGCGAAAGUCGGAAAGACGUUUGAUAAUGGCUGGAAUCGAGCAGUGGCGAUCAGGAAAUCGGUUAAACGCAAACAACUAGCUAGCGGCACCGCGCUGUGCUGCGCCAGGGCCGUAACGCGACAAAACAUUGGCGUCAUCGACGUGUACGCCUGGGCGUGGAGGUGGUGAGGAAAAGUUUAUUUGUACACGACACGGUAAAUAACUUCGGCGCGUCCCCCCUGCGCGCGCUAGGCCUAAGGCAGCGAGUAGCUAUGUGCUCUGCCUAGGUUUGCUGGGAGUAUAUUGGGCGUGGCGUCUACUGUGAGAACGUCGAUCUCACUUCUACAUUUUCAGUUUUCUGGAUUACACACUCGCGGCGUCGUACCUUUGACUUGACUUCGGCGGGGCCGGCGUGGCGCUGCCCCAGAGCCAGCCAAAGGCCGGUGGCGGCGGUGGCCGUCUGCUCGCGGGCGCGGUGCGGCGGGGGUGAAGGCGGAACAGCCGGGUGCGCGUACCACGUGACUACGCGGGCCAAUCAACGGCGGCCUCUCUCCCCCUUUCCUCCUCUCUCUCUCUCUCUUUUUCCCCUCGCGGCUCUGUGUUCUCCGGCAAGUGUAUAUA
rnacentral:lncRNA from 1 species